AGAUCUACUUGUCUCAUAAGAGAAUGUGAGGUUGCCAUACAUUAAGCCAACGUGCUGCCACUGCGUGCUUCCCCCUGAAAAUCAGAGAGAAUUCGGAUGCUACAUGACUCUGUGCUGUGAUUCAAUGUCUGGAAGCUACAGAGAGGCCACUGUGCUGCUCCCAGGUGCCCAGGGGGAGAGUAAGCAGUGCAUUUACCUGCACAGAAGGACGGCAAGCUGUUGCAGUCAUUUCUAUGGAGACAGCUUGUCUGUUUCCUGCUAUAUGGUGAUAAUUACUUCAAAAGGUGGCUAGGGGGAGGCUGCUGAGAAAAAGUAACCCUUUCCUGACAGGUCAGGAGAUUCUUCUAUCAGGUAAUUAGUAAACUUGCAGGUAGCUGGCAAGAUCUUCCUUUCUGAGGUGUGUAAGCCAGUUUUGUUUUUCUUCUUUUUUUAAAGAAAUCACGCAAAAACUCUUGUAACAUGUAUUCUGGAGUGGUCAGUGGUGACAAAUGACUCUA
rnacentral:lncRNA from 1 species